GCAGUCGAACGGCAGCAUGAUCUAGCUUGCUAGAUUGAUGGCGAGUGGCGAACGGGUGAGUAAUACAUCGGAACGUGCCCUGUAGUGGGGGAUAACUAGUCGAAAGAUUAGCUAAUACCGCAUACGACCUGAGGGUGAAAGUGGGGGACCGCAAGGCCUCAUGCUAUAGGAGCGGCCGAUGUCUGAUUAGCUAGUUGGUGAGGUAAAGGCUCACCAAGGCGACGAUCAGUAGCUGGUCUGAGAGGACGAUCAGCCACACUGGGACUGAGACACGGCCCAGACUCCUACGGGAGGCAGCAGUGGGGAAUUUUGGACAAUGGGGGCAACCCUGAUCCAGCAAUGCCGCGUGUGUGAAGAAGGCCUUCGGGUUGUAAAGCACUUUUGUCCGGAAAGAAAUCGCACUUACUAAUAUUAGGUGUGGAUGACGGUACNGGAAGAAUAAGGACCGGCUAACUACGUGCCAGCAGCCGCGGUAAUACGUAGGGUCCAAGCGUUAAUCGGAAUUACUGGGCGUAAAGCGUGCGCAGGCGGUUGUGCAAGACCGAUGUGAAAUCCCCGGGCUUAACCUGGGAAUUGCAUUGGUGACUGCACGGCUAGAGUGUGUCAGAGGGGGGUAGAAUUCCACGUGUAGCAGUGAAAUGCGUAGAGAUGUGGAGGAAUACCGAUGGCGAAGGCAGCCCCCUGGGAUAACACUGACGCUCAUGCACGAAAGCGUGGGGAGCAAACAGGAUUAGAUACCCUGGUAGUCCACGCCCUAAACGAUGUCAACUAGUUGUUGGGGAUUCAUUUCCUUAGUAACGUAGCUAACGCGUGNANNUGACCGCCUGGGGAGUACGGUCGCAAGAUUAAAACUCAAAGGAAUUGACGGGGACCCGCACAAGCGGUGGAUGAUGUGGAUUAAUUCGAUGCAACGCGAAAAACCUUACCUACCCUUGACAUGCCACUAACGAAGCAGAGAUGCAUUAGGUGCUCGAAAGAGAAAGUGGACACAGGUGCUGCAUGGCUGUCGUCAGCUCGUGUCGUGAGAUGUUGGGUUAAGUCCCGCAACGAGCGCAACCCUUGUCUCUAGUUGCUACGAAAGGGCACUCUAGAGAGACUGCCGGUGACAAACCGGAGGAAGGUGGGGAUGACGUCAAGUCCUCAUGGCCCUUAUGGGUAGGGCUUCACACGUCAUACAAUGGUGCAUACAGAGGGUUGCCAAGCCGCGAGGUGGAGCUAAUCCCAGAAAAUGCAUCGUAGUCCGGAUCGUAGUCUGCAACUCGACUACGGAAGCUGGAAUCG
rnacentral:rRNA from 1 species